UGCGUAGGCGGAUAAAUAAGUCAGUGGUGAAAUCUUUCGGCUCAACCGGGAAACUGCCAUUGAUACUGUUAGUCUUGAGUUCGGUUGAGGUAGGCGGAAUGUGUAAUGUAGCGGUGAAAUGCUUAGAUAUUACACAGAACACCAAUUGCGUAGGCAGCUUACUAGACCGACACUGACGCUGAGGCACGAAAGCGUGGGUAGCGAACAGGAUUAGAUACCCUGGUAGUCC
rnacentral:rRNA from 1 species